GAAGCUCUGUGUACGAAGAUCCCCAGUACUCAAAUACCUACCUGUACAAGUGAAGCUCUGUGUGUGUACGAAGAUCCCCAGUGCUGUGAGUCACGUAACCUGUGGAGUAAACUUGACCGGUGUAUAAACCCUUACUUGUUCUGCCGAAGGUCCCGGGUGGACGAACAGCGUUUGACAUCGAAGUACUUUACCUUGUCUGACCUUUGUUUGAUUCUGCCUCCAGGAGAAGCGGAGCGCGCCACGGAUUGUUGGGCCAGAGCCCCUACGGAGCCCCUGUCCCCAGUCUUUCCCUCAAGUGGCCCUGGAGGCGAAAGAGAGACACAUUAGUUUUAAAUUGCCCUUCCCCCUUUCCCCGCUUUCCUUUUAAAUAUUUAAUAAAGUUUAUUUUAAUUAUA